UACGGAGGGUGCGAGCGUUGUUCGGAAUCACUGGGCGUAAAGGGCGUGUAGGCGGUCCGCUAAGUCUGAUGUGAAAGCCCGGGGCUCACCCCCGGAAGUGCAUUGGAAACUGGCGGACUCGAGUCCCGGAGAGGAGAGUGGAAUUCCUGGUGUAGCGGUGAAAUGCGUAGAUAUCGGGAGGAACACCAGUGGCGAAGGCGGUACUCUGGGCCUUACCUGACGCUGAGACGCGAAAGCGUGGGGAGCGAACCGG
rnacentral:rRNA from 1 species